rnacentral:rRNA from 1 species
GAAAGCGUGGGUAGCGAACAAGGAUUAGAUACCCUGGUAGUCACGCCCUAAACUAUGGAUACUCGACAUCAGCGAUACACUCAACCUGUCUGAGCGAAAGCAUUAAGUAUCCCACCUGGGAAGUAGCAUCGCAAGAUUGAAACUCAAAGGAAUUGGCGGGGGUCCGCACAUGCGGUGGAGCAAGUGGUUUAAUUCCAUGAUACGCGAGGAACCCUUACCUGGGCUAGAAUGCUGGUGGACCGUGGGUGAAAGCCUCAUUUUGUAGCAAUACACCGCCAGUAAGGUGCUGCAUGGCUGUCGUCAGCUCGUGCCGUGAGGUGUUGGGUUAAGUCCCGCAACGAGCGCAACCCCCAUCACUAGUUGCCAUCAGGUAAUGCUGGGAACUCUAGUGAAACUGCCGUCGCAAGACGUGAGGAAGGAGGGGAUGAUGUCAAGUCAUCAUGGCCUUUAUGCCCAGAGCUACACACGUGCUACAAUGGGGAGGACAAUGGGCUGCCACUUAGUGAUAAGGAGCCAAUCCCAGCCUCCUCUCAGUUCGGAUUGGAGUCUGCAACUCGACUCUAUGAAGCUGGAAUCGCUAGUAAUCGUAUAUCAG